rnacentral:rRNA from 1 species
UGAUGGAGCAACGCCGCGUGAACGAUGAAGGCUUUCGGGUCGUAAAGUUCUGUUGUAAGGGAAGAACAAGUGCCGCAGGCAAUGGCGGCACCUUGACGGUACCUUGCGAGAAAGCCACGGCUAACUACGUGCCAGCAGCCGCGGUAAU